rnacentral:tRNA from 2 species
CCCGGAGUGGCGGAACUGGCAGACGCGCUGGACUCAAAAUCCAGUGGUACUUAGUACCGUGUGGGUUCGACCCCCUCCUCCGGGACCA